GGGGGAUGUUGAUGAUUUACAGAGUCUCUGUGGCUGGCAUCUGAAAGAAAAUGUUGAGAGAAACUCCCACAAAAACUAGCAUUAACCUUUGAGGGAGAGCGGGAUGUUCACUGAAAUUGAAGCCAGCUGCUUAGGCUCCUGACAAGAUUAACAUAAUACAGAAUCUAAAAUAGAAGGAGGGAGUUUAGGCAGAAUGUUUCAUAAAUAUCUGAGUCCAUAGAAAAUAAAUACAGUCAAAUACAUGUGGCAAACAAUAAAGUAAUACUGAGCAAAAGAUAAGGGGAGAACAUGAAGGGCCAGCAGUGGUUUAUGGCUCUUUGCAUGAACUUGAAAGCAAGGGAGGAGUACUUGCAUCCCAGGCAAACACAGCAACGAUGGCAUAACCUCCUUGACUUGAACCCUUUGGAGAAGCAAUGAGUGCUACAGCAGCAGAGGAAUCCUCAUGGGCCUGAAAGAAAAGAGAACAAAUCCAUUUAAGUUAAACUCAUAAGCUAAGAGGUGCUAGAAACAAAGGCUGGUUGUGGUAAUCUAAAGCAGUGAGCUCAGGUACAGGAGUGAGGGAACUACAUGUCCAGCAAAUCAUGAAAGAUGUCAUCUGGAGCAGCAGCAGAGAGGGGAAGGUGUCCUGUGGGUUUCAAAGGCAUGAUAGGGCCUGGUCUGUUGAGAAGAUGAUUACCGAAGGACCACAAUAAUUGUGUAAAGGUUUGGGGACGUUAUCCAAAAGCUUCCGUUGUCACCAAGGCGCAGAACAUUGCCAUGCACGUUUCUCAGUUUCUCUUUGGCAGGAGAACUACACCAGCAGCGUUAACUGAGAAUCAUGAGGUGAAUAGAAGAACCAAUAGGACCACACUAGGGAUGGUUCUGGCUACUCUAAAGAUAAAAAAGUAUAGGACUGAACCAUAAUGUAUCAAAAUGGAAUAUCUUUUGAUUAUGUUAAAGAUUAACUACUGAUGAUUUGAAAAUAUUUUCAAAUCACCAGUGUCAAUCCCUAUCAAUCAUCAGUAGCAAAUGUCCUUAUAAAAACAGAACGUAUUUUUGAAGAUCCAGUGCUUUAGGGAAUUGUUCAUUCUUCAGAUUGCCAUUUUGGCGUUUUAGUUGUACAGGAGUGUACAAGUAUCUAUACUGAUGACAUUGGGGCUUAAUAUAAAUUACAGACAAGCACAUCCAAAGAUUUUACAAGAAACUUGGCAAAGUAUUUAGGUUGGCUAGAGUUGAAGUGUCAAUUCACAUGCAAUGAAGACACUCCAAGGAGGAGAAGUUAACAGAGCCUCAGCAGGGAGGCAGAUCACAGUAGGACAGGGACCACCACCUCUACCACCAGGAUUGCCAUUUCUUGGAACAGUGAACAACGUGGGGAGUGGGGAAAUUUGUGUCUGUGCUACCCGCUCAAACAGCAUCCCAAAUUCACUCUUGUGUGACAAUCAAGACAGAUGUGGGAAGAACCUUAAGAAUCUGAGGAACUAAUAAAAGACUUCAGUUUUGAGGAGUUGUGACAGAAGGCACAAAGCUAAGGUUGUCCAGUAUAGCCCCCAAAAAACGGGUUAGAUAACUGUUUUACAAGAAUAUGGUAAAAAUUGGUCAUCAGUGGUUUAUGUAUCAUCUGCACUGGCUUAACGUGCUGAAAUGCAGAAGGCGGCUUUGAUUCUAGUUGAAUUAUGUAGAAGUUUCAUCUUAGAGAAGGUCGAUGUGAACAGAAACUGACUUCAGAUCACGUGGACUUGGCUCACUCUCUUUGAAGUGAGAUUAUUUUUCAAUUACAGAUGCUGGAGAGAAUUGUUAUUUGCAUAUAGCAUCGGUAUUUCACAGAUGUUGUGGUGACUGUAAAGUCACCAUAGAGGUGAGUUGGGUGAGCACAUGCAGUAACCCAUCAGGUCUUCUACUUUCACAGCUUACCUGGAAUGGGUCUUGAUUUCCUCAAGGCAGGGCAACAGCACUACUACUUACUCCAGCACAGACAGCACUGCUCCAGGAAAACCUCUGCAAGCUGUGGAACGGCCAAUAAAGGUAAUGCUAACCUUCUGUAGUGACUCUACAGGUGCCAGAAAACAUAACUGAGCAAGGCAACCAAAGUAACUUGUGCUGGGUUGAAAGGUAGACAAUUCCUUCAUGGAGCCACAGCAGCAAUAUGAGAACAGAUUAUUCUCUGUUAUCUAAUCAAAGAGUUUCUGAAAUUUGCAGAGAUGUUAAAACACAGCCAAAACCCACCUGAACAGGUUCAUCCUUCGUAUGUUGAAGGAUUGGGUCUACUUGACAAUUCCACGAGAACAUGACAUGGGCUGUCAUGGGAGGGCUGUGAGAGAUGGAUGAAUAGUCUGAUCUUGUUUACCAAGUAGGUAUAGUACAGACAGGUAAAUUUUAGAGGCAACUUCCUGUUAGAUACACCAGCUUGCAGAUCCUCCCACCCUCAUGACAUAGGAGAUGUGUUAUUUGGUGAUGUGCACUGUUACCUGAAUGCAGCUGCCCUCUGUGUACAGUGGAAGAAAAUCUGCAAAUAUUCCAGAUUACCUGAAUUACUUUCAUUAGUGUAAGGGAGUGCUUCCUUGAAGGACCAGGUACUCCAUAUGCUUUUGUCUGGUAUCCCCAGUGAAGCGAGGCUCAGGGCUGGGCAGUGUACAUCAGAGUAAGCAGCAUCAAGUCUUUCAACCACCGAAGGAGUAUAGGGGCCUGCACUGAUGAUUCCAGAACAUUGUAUCUUGCCUGUAUGAUUCUUAAGGGUUUAGCCUAUAAACCAUACUUGAGGAUACAGUUAAAACACGAUUAAGACAACUGAGCCAUCUUUAAUACAAUAUCCACCCAGCUCUCUUGGGAUGUGGACAAAUGGUUUUAAAACUAGAAUUAAAAAAACCCACCCCAGCAGCCCAGAGAAAGAUCUAGAAAGAACACUGUUUUGUAACAUAUUUUGUCUACCUCUUAACUCAUACCUAUUUCUUUUUAGUAUAUCCAUCACUUCUCACAAUCGCAUGAUUUGCUUUUUCCCCUGAAAUACAUUUCAAGAUUUCCAUGAAUACAAAAGUGAAAGUCACUGAGAAUAGCAUAUCCACCACUGUCCCCAACUCACCUACCUCCUGGCUACUUCCACCAAAGUGUAGAUAGGUGCUGUCAGGCUACAAGCAUUAGGUACUUGGGAAGACAACUCAUCAUCUGACUACAAGUCAGACAGCAUUAAAAGAUGCGCAGCUUAGUACUUUACUAGUCCCUCAGAGCUUCACAAAAAUACAGAAAGCUCAAAAAUCUACCUACUUCCUUCAUUAUUUUGACCCAACCCUGUAACUUAAGGACAGCAUUUCUUCUGUUAAAUGCAAUGCUUCAAGUACUGAAAGUCCAAAGUCCCAGAUUCCUACAAGUAUCGUGAAAGUAUCUGAAAGUUUAGAAGACCGCAACAUCACACAUCACAAGAUCAAGUACUCAAUAGCUGAAGGAACACAAACACACAUUAACAAAAAAUGUUCCUCCAACCAAGUCAGAAGAAUGCCUUCCUGAAAUAUAGCUGGAGGACAUGAAGAUGACUAGAUGGAUAAAUUUUGAAAGCUUUAUGCUCAAGGAAAGUUUGACAGCUUGGGAAGGAUUUAAAUUCAGGCUAAUUAAGAAAACCUGCAAAAUUUCAGAUUUUCUUGUCAUGAUGCCUGCUCUGACACCAAAGUUGCAAAAAUCAGGUUUCAGGCAGAUCCUUGAGACAGCAUAGGGGCUCUCACACUGCAGCAGAAAAUUGUAUCCAAUCUUGCAGUGACCAAGUGCUCAUCUCUUGCCUUCUCUGUAAAAUUUACUGCUGAGAACUGCCUUGUCACAGACAUUUCAAACACACUGUAAAAACUCAACCUUGGAAAGCAAUUUCAAAUUAACGCCUCGAGGAAAAGAUGGCUAAUUUUUCCCUACUGCACACCCUUAUUUAAAUCUGAAAUGACUAACAUGUAUUAAUAAAGUCCCAGCACAAAGGUGUUGACUUCUGUAGUUGGCACAGAAUCUGCCACACAACACACAACUUUCUGAAACAGUGCUCAUCUACACUGGGGUGCGAUCACGUAUGAUCCAGCCUCAGGUUUUCCUUUCUCGUACUUCUAUUUGUAUGUGAUACACGAAUGUGUUAACAUCACAAUUGUUGCAACACUGGUGCUUUGAAUGUCCAAAAGGAAUAAACUCCUGAAAGUACAUCUAAGAAAGACUCUCCUGUUUGCAAAGGAACUGAAUAAACUCUCCUUCAAGGAAGCACUGCUGUGCAAUCAAAGCUAUCUUCUGUAAGUGCAGUAAGGAAGCAGGAUAUAACAUUUAGUUUCAAAUUAAUAACUAUUUAGAUUUUUGGAAAAAGGGGGAAGAAUGUCAUCACUGAGUCAGACCCAAAGUUUAACUGCUCUUUUUCAAUUGAAUAUUUGAAUAAAUUUCAAAAGAUGGUAUCCUUGUAAAGACUUUAUUCUACAACCAUCUUUGCUUCACUAAAACUGGUAUUCCAAAGGGAAUCAGAGGUUUCAAAAAAAAUACCACUAAUGCCAUUUUCCUUCAGCUUUAAUUAUUUCUUUUUUAUUUUCGUAAGUCAAAUGAGUCAAUAUAUUGGUAUUCCUAAAUCAUCCGUCUUGCAUUUUGAUGAGUUAGUCUACCACCGUUGUUCUGAGUUAUGAAAUUUCAAAGUCUCUUUGGAAUACUAAUUUCAUAUUUAUAGGUUUCAAUUUUUUUAUUCCUAUUUCCCUGAAUUCUUUCUUGACAGUUGCUGAUGUAAAAUUUAAUAUAAAAUAUUUAGUCACAAAAUAGUAUUGCUUUUAUGCACAUUGUGGUAAGAUUAUUUCUUUUUUCUCCCAAUAAAAACUAUACCAUCUUCCAUAAAAUCCUAAACAUAUUAAGAACUGUGAUGCAGAACAAAAUUACACAGGGUGAAACAGGUACCAGCACAACAGUGAGAUUGUAUUACAUCAAAAAAUUUUAAUGGUCCCAAAUAUAUACUCAACAACUAAGCAUACACUCAGGGGGGCAAAAAAAAAUUAUGACACAAAAGUGACCACAUCUAGAAUUCCACUCAAUCUUUAAUCAAGAAGGGACAAACAAAUCCCUUACCUCCAAAAAAAAAUUCUGCAGUUUAAAGGGCAAAGGGAACAGAUUUUUAAAAAAAAAAAAAAAAAAGA
ensembl:lncRNA